rnacentral:rRNA from 1 species
GUAGGGAAUAUUGGGCAAUGGAUGCAAGUCUGACCCAGCCAUCCCGCGUGCCGGAAGAAGGCCCUCAGGGUUGUAAACGGCUUUUGACGGUGAAGAAUCGACAGGAUGCGUCCUGUUUUGACGGUAGCCGUUGAAUAAGCACCGGCUAACUCCGUGCCAGCAGCCGCGGUAAUACGGAGGGUGCGGGCGUUGUCCGGAUUUAUUGGGUUUAAAGGGUGCGUAGGCUGGAAGGUCAGUCAGCGGUGAAAAGCUGUCGCUUAACGAUAGUCUUGCCGCAGAUACUUCCUUUCGUGGAUGAGGAGGAGGCCACUGGAACGGAUGGUGUAGCGGUGAAAUGCAUAGAUAUCAUCCAGAACACCGAGUGCGAAGGCAGGUGGCUGUACCUUAAUCGACGCUGAUGCACGAAAGCAUGGGGAGCAAACAGGAUUAGAUACCCCUGUAGUCC